ACUAAAAUGACAGAUAAUAUGUACAAAAUUUAGGCUUUUGUUAUGAGAUAAAUAUCUCUUUUAGAA
rnacentral:tRNA from 1 species